rnacentral:lncRNA from 1 species
UCACAGAAAGUUUGAGCCCCCGGAGCGGUGCGUGGCCCUCUCCUGGACUCUGCUCCCCGCUUUCCCAGAUGGAAGCUUUGUCGUCUCCCUCGGAACGCUGGCUUUCCCUGCCCGGCACGGAAUGACAAAGGGAGCAUCCUGCUUCCCCAGGCUCCUCCGUGCCGGAGCGAGGGAAUGACUUCAGAGCUGUCACGGCUGUCGUUAGCAAGGAUCACCUGCACCUCAAACCCUGACAUCAGGUAAAGUGAUAAACAUCAUAAACUACAGUUCACAUCCAACGUUUUAAUGCUAGAAUGCUGAAUCUUCUCACAGGGCACAGCCACUACUGAACAACCCCAGUAACCCUGUUUUCUGAGCUUUAUCCGUGUGCUACAGUUAACCCUGCUUUUCAGAACGAUGGCACCAACAGGCAUUAGAAAUUCAAACAACCUUGAACCAUUGUAUCCUACAAGGCAACUUUUCAAAAGGUGGUGCUUGGGAGUUGCAUCUUUCCUUUUUUCUGUCAGACUCUCAAGAACACCUGAUUAUUCAGCCUCAAUUUUGUUGCUUUGCCAUCAAAACCACCUCUGAGAAAGCCACAUGUUCAUCAGAAGGUACUUACAUGGCCCAAGUUAUUUCAGCACCUAAUCAUCACCUGAUACUCCUUGAGCCAGGGAAUAGCAUUUGCUGGUUUGUUACACCAGCAAACAAAACGAUACCUGAAGACCUUUGA